UACUCAGUUCGGAUCGCAGGCUGCAACCCGCCUGCGUGAAGUUGGAAUUGCUAGUAAUGGCAGGUCAGCAUACUGCCGUGAAUACGUUCCCGGGCCUUGUACACACCGCCCGUCACACCAUGAGAGUUGGGGAUACCCGAAGCCUGUGAGCUAACAGUAAUGAAGCAGCAGUCGAAGGUAGAAUCAAUGAUUGGGGUGAAGUCGUAACAAGGUACC
rnacentral:rRNA from 1 species